rnacentral:rRNA from 1 species
GACAGAGGUCCCGAGCGUUAGGCGGAAUCACUGGGCUUAAAGCGUGUGUAGGCGGCUCGUUAAGUGCUUUGUGAAAUCCCACGGCUUAACCGUGGAACUGCUUGGCAUACUGGCGAUCUUGAGCCACCUAGGGGCAACCGGAACAAACGGUGGAGCGGUGAAAUGCGUAGAUAUCGUUUGGAACGCCAAUGGUGAAAACAGGUUGCUGGGGGUGUGCUGACGCUGAGACACGAAAGCCAGGGGAGCGAACGGG